UACGAGGGGGGCGAGCGUUGUUCGGAAUUAUUGGGCGUAAAGGGUGCGUAGGCGGUUUGGUAAGUCUUGUGUGAAAUCUUCGGGCUCAACUCGAAGUCUGCAUGAGAAAACUGCCGGGCUUGAGUGUGGGAGAGGUGAGUGGAAUUCCGCGUGUAGCAGUGAAAUGCGUAGAUAUCUGGAGGAACACCGGUGGCGAAGGCGGCAUCCUGGACCAACACUGACACUGAGGAGCGAAAGCCAGGGGAGCAAACGGG
rnacentral:rRNA from 1 species